GCCUCGUGAAUUCAUCUCCGGGGGUAGAGCACUGUUUCGGCUAGGGGGCCAUCCCGGCUUACCAACCCGAUGCAAACUGCGAAUACCGGAGAAUGUUAUCACGGGAGACACACGGCGGGUGCUAACGUCCGUCGUGAAGAGGGAAACAACCCAGACCGCCAGCUAAGGUCCCAAAGUCAUGGUUAAGUGGGAAACGAUGUGGGAAGGCCCAGACAGCCAGGAUGUUGGCUUAGAAGCAGCCAUCAUUUAAAGAAAGCGUAAUAGCUCACUGGUCGAGUCGGCCUGCGCGGAAGAUGUAACGGGGCUAAACCAU
rnacentral:rRNA from 4 species